ACGACAGCUAACACACACGCAACAACCAUGUGGUUGAAACUAACUUUGUUUUGUGUCUAAAUAUUAGCUGGUAACACGUGCGGCUAAGUUUGGAAAAACCUCCGUUUUUGGGUUCAAUCGGAAGUAAUGAUCGGGUCAGCAAGUCAAUGUAGACGGGAUCAGUUUAGCUGUAAAAAGUUUCUUUAAUCCGAUCUGGUGAGUUUCUGUGUUUCCGCUUCCUGUAGCAGCAGAUGGAGGCGAAGCUUCUCACCUCAAACGUGCGAGAAUCUGACGUGGAAGGAAGAAUUUAUCUUCAAAGUCGUUUAUUAUUUCACACACAGUGGGGGAAACGUCACAGGCAACCAAUGAAAUGAGGAGCAUGAGAUUAGGAUAGAGAAGCAUAGAGAAGCUGCAGCAAUUGUACAGAUCUGUUGUGAGGAAGAAGCUGAAAAGUUAAGAUCUUGAUCUACUGGACGAUCCUGAUCCCGAAAUAUGAGCUGUAAGUCAUGAAAAAAGGACAAAACUCGGGAUAGAAGUGGCCCAAAUCACCUGGACCAAGGCUAUGAUGAGGAGGAGUUUGAACACCUGGGAGUGCAAAGGAAAUGUUCUGCUGAUGGGAAAACCUGGAAAAUCACAGGUGGUCUGGAUACACCUUUACGUCCUCCUUGUAAGGCCUGAUGGGGGAAAUCCAGGACCUCCUGCUUCGACUGCUGCCCCCAUGACGGUUUAAAAGGCCCUAUAUCUUGCUAUUCUUUAGCCUUUCAGAGUACACUAUAUCUAUAUAAAUAUGAUAAAACGUUACUUAAGAACGAUUUUUUAAAGAAAUAUGAUUUAUUUCCCUGCCCAUAAGUAAGUCGACUCCAUCUCUGAGGCUCCGCCUUUCUCUCCGUGUUCGUUCCGCCCAUUUCAUGCUAUCAACCUAAACCCGGCCUACACGGCUUUUUACCCACAAAAACAAACAUCCAAACUUUUCCAAAGAUGGUUGUGCAUAUAAAAUGAAAGCGUUUAGCUGAUCACUACUAGCUCCACUGAAAAAGUGGCUGUGCGUAUUAGCCUGGGGGCGGAGCUGGAAGUGCAGACUUCCUGGAAGGGGCUGUUCCUCACUUUGUGAUGUCACUAUGUGAGAAUCCACUCAUUUUUGUGGAUUGGGAGGGGCUGUUGCUCAGAGCGCAGCUUUGAGAGGAAUACUCAGAAAUGCAUAAACGAAUCACAGAACACCGCCUUGAAGUUUUUUAUAGCGUGUAAAGAAAAUUAUAAUACACUUAAAAGCUCAAAAAAGACGAUUUAGCAUAAUGUAGGCCCUUUAAAAUAAGGCUCAGAGAUUACGUGGAUCUCCACUCCAUUGUAGGAGUUUCUGCUCUGCUUUUUGCUCACCCUGAUCGUCUUUUGAUCGAUUCUGAAGGUGUUCCCAGGGGUCUUUCUAUCAUAAUUAUGCCUUUUGUAGCCCAAAAAAAAAAAGUUCUCGGACAAAAUUUCUGCACAAAACACAAUUUUCAUCAGAGUGGGUCUUUGAGAAUAAAUGUUUAGAAAACAAAAUGUUUCUGAUUGCAAAAGAAACACUAGAGAAUGCAGGAAGCCGCAAAUUUCAACAACAAAGGUGCAAAAUAUGACACAGAUGAAACCAAAAAAAAAGCCCCAAGCAGCUUUGAUGGUAGUUGAGGCUCAAGAAAAA